rnacentral:rRNA from 1 species
UCUUGGUCAAUUUAGAGGAAGUAAAAGUCGUAACAAGGUUUCCGUAGGUGAACCUGCGGAAGGAUCAUUAUCGUAUAACAGCCCAGAGGCGUGAGGGUGCUGUCCGCUGACCUUUCAAAGGGUCGUGCACGCACCCGGGCGUCCUCGCAACAAUCCACCUCACCUUUGUGCAUCACCGCGUGGGUUCCCUCGAAAAAAGAGGGGCUUGCGUUUUUAUCGUUACACACGCAGUACUAGAAUGUGUUGUUACAUGCAUAUUAUGCAACCAAUACAACUUUCAACAACGGAUCUCUUGGCUCUCGCAUCGAUGAAGAACGCAGCGAAAUGCGAUACGUAAUGUGAAUUGCAGAAUUCAGUGAAUCAUCGAAUCUUUGAACGCAUCUUGCGCCCCUUGGCAUUCCGAGGGGCACACCCGUUUGAGUGUCGUGAAAUCCUCAACCUUUCGUCCUUUUAUUGGAGAAAGGCUUGGACGUUGGAGGCUUUUGCUGGCCUCUUUGAAGCCAGCUCCUCUUAAAGGAAUUAGUGGGAUCCCCUUUGCCGAUCCUCGACGUGAUAAGCUUUCUUUGACGUCGCAUUGAGAGGUGAAGAGAGAGGCCUGCUUAGAACCGUCUCUUUGUCGAGACACGGUGCCCUGACCCUUUUGACCUCAAAUCGGGUGAGACUACCCGCUGAACUUAAGCAUAUCAAUAAGCGGAGGAA